rnacentral:rRNA from 1 species
UACCAGCUCUCCGAGUGGUAGGGAUGAUUAUUGGGCUUAAAGCGUCCGUAGCCGGCUUAGCAAGUCUCCUGUUAAAUUCAGCGACCUAAUCGUUGAGCCGCGGGAGAUACUACUAGGCUAGGAGGCGGGAGAGGUCGACGGUACUUCCGGGGUAGGGGUGAAAUCCUAUAAUCCCGGGAGGACCACCAGUGGCGAAGGCUGUCGACUAGAACGCGCUCGACGGUGAGGGACGAAAGCUGGGGGAGCGAACCGGAUUAGGUACCCGGGUAGUCCCAGCUGUAAACGAUGCGGGCUAGGUGUUGGGGUGGCUACGGGCCACUUCAGUGCCGCAGGGAAACCAUUAAGCCCGCCGCCUGGGGAGUACGGCCGCAAGGCUGAAACUUAAAGGAAUUGGCGGGGGAGCACCACAAGGCGUGAAGCUUGCGGUUC